UCUUCUCUCUCACUCUCUCAGACAGAAGAAGAAAAAAAUACCCCUCCAUUGAAAUUCUCUGAUUCACUCCACAUCUACAAUCUUGAGCACAACACCGUAUCAUUAUACCAUCCUACCUUCUUCUUGUUCUUAGAUCAGUUCUGGCGAGAAGAAAGCAAAUCCAGGAUUGGGUUUUACUUAUUUCAGCUGAUUUGAUUUGGGGAUUUAGGGCAGUUAUUUCAAACAGAUGAUAAUGAUCAAGGAUGAUUUCAUGUUUUUAACUUACGAUUCCUGGAUCAUGGCAGGAAAUACGUACCUCGACCAGCUCAAUGACUUAUGUUCCAAAACAACUUAAGUUUCUCCGCCCACACUAUGGAAAUUUAAAGACUUACUUUGAAACAAUGGAAGAUUCAGAGCUGAAGGUGCAACUUGCUCAAUUAUACUUUUAAGUUUACUAUGUCUCUCAAAGGAGAACGGGUAGGUGAAAGCAUCACACUUUGCUCUUUUUUUUGCACUCACAGUUUGAACUAUAAGUAAGGGAGAACCUUGUAGUUAGACUCCUGAGAGAGCUUGUUUAACUGGAUGUUGAGCAUUUGUUGGUUGUGAUAUCUAUAGUAGUUUUUACUAGGGACGGGUAUACGAGUGAAAUGAGUUUGUCAAGGCUUUUAGGGUAUGAUCUUCUUAAGCACAUGAUACGGUUAAUCUGGACUACAUAUUUAAACAGCUUUAGGAGGUUAUAUCCUCAUCUGGGAGAUAAUGUAUAUGCUACAAUGGUUUACUGGAGUUUAUGUCAAAGAUAAAGUGAUGUGAAGGAGAUUGAAAGGCGUGGAAUUGAACCAAGUGAUGGAGCAAAAUUAGUGAAUCAUCCACAAAGGAGCUACAAAGUGCUUAAAUAUCUAGGAAGAGAAGUAUUCCAAGUUUCCAAGUGCCCAAGUCCAAGACAAAUAGAAGAAGUGCGAUGAAAAGGAGCAAAACGCUCAUAAUCAGGACUCAGCCCAAAGACGGAUCUUAACUCAUUCAAAUUAAGGAUUUCUCAUCAUCAUCUUGAAGAGAAUUGAAAUAUAAAAAUAAUGCAAAAAGAAUGAGGUCAUUCCGAGUUCGAAUGAAGAAGUUGUGGCCAAAACAGUUUUCAUUGAAUACCGAAGACAGUGAAGUCCGCGAAUUGGGUUUGCGAACCGAGUUCGCAGGCUUAUUAUCGAAAAUAUCUGCUGGAAUUUGAAGUUUGCGGACAGGGUACACGAACUUAUCAAAUGGGAAACGUGUAUUCACACCAUGGAAGGUCUAAGGACACGUUUGGAGUCGUUGGGUCAUAUUUUCGGGUCGGGUUCUUAAACCUAACUAAAUACUUGUGUUGAUGGUGGCUUUAGGACCAGGGGUAAAAACGUAAAACCUCACGUAUAGGAUGACGUCAUCGGUGACACUAACACAUUUAUUAGAGCAUUUAACACGCUUACACAAAAAUUACCGGGGUA